ACCGUGAACAUCACUGCUUUUGGGAGAGAGAAUGCAUCUGGAACUGGUCUUUUCUCAUGACCGUUAGCGUCCCCACCUACUUCAAGUUAGGAGGGCAGUUUGAGUCUGGAGUGCAUCAUUUCCUGAAGAUCCUUUUGACUUGACUUUGAGGAAGAGGUUGACCACAGGUGGGAAACACACCUGCAACAUAUCCAUCACAGCUGACAGAAGAAUGGAAUAAUGUGAUGCCUGGAGCCUAUCAUGCCUGGAGACCAGCAUCCCUGGACCCCCUCCUCAUUGCCCAUUUUCUCUGUAUAAUUGCCUCAAGUUUCUGUAAACCUGGAAGUUGGAUUUUUGAGACGUUAGUCACCCAUCUUCUGAUUAGCCAGCUAAUCUAAUUAAACUUCCUUUCUCAUCUCUAACUUGUGAUUAAUUGGCUCAGAUCUCGGUGAGCAGAGUGAGCCCAUUGCUUAGUAUCAAAUUCUGGCGACCCAGAGAGGACCAUAGCCUCUGCCCGUGGCUGGUUGACUUGGAGGAGGCUCUUUUGGGAUUUUUCCCUGCAUCUGCCAGGUGGCUUUUUCCGCCUGGGGAAUUUCCCUGUGGCUUCCUCGCUUGCCGACUGCCUCUAACGCUUCAGUGAUUGGGAAAGGAAGAACCGGAUCAACUAGAUCGUAAACUGAAGAGCUUACAUCUGCAGGCCAGCUAGAAAUGCAAGUGCUGCCGGAACAUCAUCUUCAUGGUUCCAGAUGGCCCUGCUAGGUGUUCAAACACCACUGCUGGACCCACUGCCAUUGGAUCUUCAAGGAGGUAAGACUGGAUCUGUGGGCAGAUGGGAAGCCUAGGAAAACAAAGAAUGUCCAGCCAAUACGUAUACCCUUGAAAACCCCAAAGAUAAAGCUCAGCCUGAAACAAUAUCUGCUAAAAUAGAAGGCUCAGAAAGACAUUCAGCCAGUGCUGCAGACAUUCCUGGCACAGGAUUAAUCAAACCUUGCCAGUCACCAUACAGUACUCUUAUUCUCCCGGUCGAGAAACCAAAUUCAGAUGACUACUAGUUUGUUCAGGAUCUUCAUGCCAUAAAUGAGGUGGUUCAGGACCUGCACCCUGUGGUGCCCAGCCCUCACAUCUUGCUAACUAACAUUCCAGCUGAAUUUGGCUGGUUUUCUCUUCAGGAAGGAUGUGCAAGUAUCAGGCCAUUCUUUUGGACAAUCCAAAUGUACAGAUGUGAAUAUCAUCCUCCCUAAACCUAGCCACCUUGCUCCCUAAUGAGACAUCAGAUGCCAUAGAACAUGUCUGCUUACAAGUUAUUGAGAUGGUGUAUUCUAGCCGACCUGAUUUGCUGGAUUGCCCGUGGGAAGAACCGGACUUGGAACUCUUCACAGUUGGCAGCAGCUUCACGGAUCAAGGUAAGAGACACGUGGGAUAUGCAGUCAUAACUUCACAAGAGACUUUAGAGGCUAAGGCUCUAUCCCCAGGGACAUUGGCUCAAAAUUCGGAAGUCAUUGCCCUUACUUGGGCUCUACAUCCAGCUCAAGGGAAAAAAGUAAAUAUAUACACACAUUCCUGUUAUGCCUUUGCUGUAGUUCAUGCUCAUGGGGCAAUCUGGAAAGAAAGAGGACUCUUAACAACAGGAAAAAAAGAAAUCAAACGUGGCCCUGAAAUUCUAGAACUGCUUGAUGCUAUUAAUGAGCCAGCUCAGAUAGCUAUCAUUCAUAGCUCUGGGCUACAGAGGGAGAAUCUAAUGGGUCCAGAAGUAUGUCAUAGGGCCCCAACUACAAAAGACUAUACAACAGGUGACUAAAAGUUGCAUAAUCUGUGCAAACAACAACCCCAAGACUGCUUCCGGUCCCCUACAUCUGUGCACCCAACAUAAAAAAAAUUUGGCCUAAUGAAGAUUGGCAAAUAGACUUUACCCAGAUGCCCUAUGCAGCUGGGAAUUUUAGGUUUCUGUUAGUGUUUAUGGACACUUUCAUUGGGCGGGUAGAAACCUUUUCCAUUCAGACUGAGAAAGCAUCAAAAGUCACUCGCAUGUUGCUAAAAAAAUCAUCCUAAAGUUUGGCCUGCCUAAUACCUUGCAGAGUGAUAAUGGACCAGCUUUUGUUUCCCAAAUAACCUAACAACUGUCCAAAAGCUUAGAUAUCCGAUGGAUACUACACUCAGCUUGGAGACUUCAAUCAACUGGAAAGAUGGAAAAAAUGAAUCACACCUUAAAGAAGACCAUUGCCAAAAUCUGUCAGGAAACACAACUAACUUGGGACAAGGCACUACCCCUUACCCUGCUAUGGGUUAGAGUAGAGUAUGAUGAGAGUGGACUUAAAUUGCGUCCUUUUGAAAUUCUAUAUGGGAGACACUUUCAGGCACCUUCCCUUGGGACUGAGUGUCUAGAUGUCUUCAGGAAUGUUAUGAUUGCUAAUUAUGUUAAAUCAUUAAGCUCUGUAUUAACUUCUGUCCAUGAGUUUGCUUCUCAUAGGUCUGCAUAUCUGUCUGAUGUCCCUCUAUAUGCCUUCCAGCCUGGUGAUCAUGUUUUGCUAAAAAUUUGGAAAGACCAGGGACCCAAAAACCAGUUGUCACCCAAACAGACAGGCCCUUCUGAGAUUCUUCUCACCGCUCACUCAUCGGUAGAACUUACAGGUGUAAAACCCUGGAUACAUCACUCCCAGAUCGGGGUGGCCCCCAAAUCCCAGGAAAGUAUCCCACAUGUAUCAAGGGGAAAAUGGGUGGUGGAACCCCUUGGGGAGCUAAAAUAGAUCUUUCACAGUUAACUCUUUUCCAUGCUAUGGUCCCCCUAUGACGUCCUGAUUUAGCAGGAAGUAGCCAGAGAAAGUACAACGCCCUAUCUCCCCCUUGACCAUAAGAUUAUGGGUUACUACUAACAGGGGGGAAAUUGUAAGUGAGCAAAAGUGAAGCCAUCUUGUUUUGUUAAAUGGCCCCAGCCCCUCAUCUGUGUGACUACUCACUGCUCUGCACAUACCUUAAAAAAUUCACAUGUUCUCCUGAUUUAUGGCCUCGGCUUACGUAUGUACUCCCUGAAACCUUGAUAAAUUAAAACUUUGUUCUAUGAGUUUCUCUCCAGGAACAGGCUGGCCACAGGUGGGAAACACACCUACAAUGUAUCCGUCACAGCUGAGAGAAGAAUAGAACAAUGUGAUGCCUGGAGCCCGUCAUGCCUGGAGACCAGCAUCCCUGAACCCCUUCUCAUUGCCCAUUUUCCCUAUAUAACUGCCUUGAGAUUCUGUAAACCUGGAAGAUGGGUUUUUGAGACAUUAGUCACUCAUCUUCUGAUUAGCCAGCUAAUCUAAUUAAACUUCCUUUCUCAACAUCUAACUUGUGAUUAAUUGGCUCAGAUCUCAGCAAGCAGAGGGAACCCAUUGCUCCGUAUCACUAUUUCAAUU
rnacentral:lncRNA from 1 species